GCGCCCAGAGUGGGCCAAAGGAGCGAAGGGGACUCGGCCGCCAUGUUAGGAGUGCCGGGAACAGUCGGCGGAGCCUGGCCGAGGUUUUAGGCAGCGCGCGAGCCGAUUGGUGGUGCGGUGGGGACGGUGAGGCGGAGGAUAAACCGGUUGGAGAGCCUAGGGCCCAAACCUGGGGACCCGGGUGUGGACGCGGCAACUGGGGACAUUGUAGGGCGGAUCCGGCUGGAGGCAGUAUCAAGAGGUUGACUGGGCCUCGGCCUUACGGUCCAGCAGGUUGUAUAGGCGCCCUACCCGUCCUGGUCCUUUUCCUUACCAAGGGAUUGAGGGAGUCAGUUUACUUCUGGGCCCAGAGCGUCACUUAGGCACGCUAGCAGGACCCUUGGAGCGCUUGGCGUCCUUGUUGGGGUGCGGAGACCCGGGACGGCGACCCUUCACACUUCGGUCGGAGAAGCCAGCUUCCACCCACGGAAUUGGGUUGUACCUCCCGAUUUUAUUUUUAUCUUUUUGUCACUUAUAUUCCAACCUUCCUUACUCCUCCGCAAGGUUUCGGACCCUCAUUGGUUUUUCAUACAAGAAUGACUUGCCGAAAGAAAUCGAUUUUGGCUCUAGUAGCCAACCUGGAAAGGGACGGUGCUUUGGCGCCCCAAUUAAGAAAAGACUAAGGUCUAAAGGAGUAACAGCCGGUUUAAAGUGCCAGGGGUAUUAUUGAUGAUAGCCCUAUUGACCGCUGGCGGUCGGUUCCGAAGUAACGUGGGUUCCUGGAUAGACUGAGUGUAGAUACUGAGAAGGCAGGAUGUUCAUUAGCAUGGAUCACCAACUUAUUUUAAAAAUACAGUUAGUGUUUAAUUUGUGGUACUCAAUAUAUACAAUUACCUUAAGAACUAAUUAUUUUUAACUAACUGAAACCAAAGUUACUGGUCUUUAAGUUACUUUGCUCAGUAUCUCAAAUGAACUGUAUUUUUUUUCCAGUUGUGUUACUAAAACAAUGCUGUGUAUCUGUUCUUUUUCAGAGUCUACACUAUGAAAGAUGGAAAAUUUCUUUUCCUCCUGAGGGUGUCUGAAGGGUUAAAAAUGCGAUAUAUUUAUGUUUUUCUCCCUCCCUUUUGCACAGUUAUUCUGAAGACAAAAUUAACUUGUUACUUUGGGUCAUUAAGGAUAUGCAUUUCACCUCUCUGUUAGUAGUUAGUAAUAUUACAGCUGAUGGAUGGAUUCUCCUAUCCGGAAAAGCUAGGCAGAGUGAUUGAAAAUAAUAAAACAUGGUAGAAACAGUCUUUCAGAUGUAUACAGAUGAUAACUACAAAAACAGAAGAAUCAUCGUCUGUCAUGUUUCUGGACACAAGUCACAAGAUGAAAGGCUUUGUUUCAUUUUUGACAAAGGUGAUAUAAUAUGUGUUGGUCUCAUCCAUGCAGUACAAACUGGGAAAGGUUCAUACAAAUAUUUCUGUUAUUCAGAAACACCUUUGCAAGUAAUUGUGGUGUACAAGUAUGGGAAAAUCACACCAUGCCUCCCACCCCUAUCCUGGAUAACAUAUCCCUACAAUAAGAUCUCAUUUCAGUAAAUAUUACAAGUAGCAUUAGAGAGGGGAAGAAGGGAAGGAAGAUGUGUGUGGCUUCCAAUUGGUAAGUGAAGGGAAAGGAACUAACAGUUGAGGACCUACUAUGUGCUAGGUACCUUGUAUGUGCCUAUCUUCUUUAGGUCAUUGAUUAAAACAGACAGGAAGGGAGCCUAUUUAUCUUGAUAACAAAAAGGAAAAAAUUCUUUCGUCCCACAAAUCAUUGGAAUUAUUCAGAAUAUAUAUUUUUUCAUGUCUUUCUCCCAUAUGAGGGCACAAACAGCACGGCGCUUCUGCAUAGUGUUUGGCAAAUAUUUAUUGAAUGAAUAGGGACUUUUCUCAUGUCCUUAGAAUAGUGGUUCUUUGGGUCCAUGGACCUCUAAGAAUUUUAUAAAGGCUAUGGACCCACCUAGGAUGUCUCCUCUCUCACUACCCAAACACAACAAAAUAAAAAACAGCCAACUCCCUCUCCUUGCCCUAAGUACCUCCAUGUCUGUAUUUGUGCAAAAUCCAUAAUUUUGGAAUGUUUUCUGCCUUUCUGCAAUUUAUUCAUGUGUCCCAGGUUAAGAACUCAGGCCUGGAAACAUCUCUGGAUAUCUAGACAGCCUAGGAGCUUAAUUACAUUAACUUGUAAUGCUUAUAGAGUUGUCAUCUUUAUUGGUCCUUUAUAGGUUUGAGAAAAUCGCACCAUGCUUCCUGACUGUUCAGUUUGUUUUGUUUGUUUUUUUAUGAGCAGAAAUUAUAUCCAACUUGCUUUUUGGUUCAUUAAUAUGUGCUACAACCAAAGAUCAUUAUAUUUUUAAGAUUUUUGAAGUAGGAAUUGUUUAAUUGUACAGAUGAAGAAAUUAGGUUUGUCCCAAAGUUUAUUUUAUGUGAGUAUCAUAUCUCUGGCUUUCUAAAUGGAAUGAUUUCCCUCCCUCCCUUCCUCCCUCCCUCCCUCCUUUCAUUCCUUCCUUCCUUCCUUCGUCCCUCCCUCUUUCUUCCCUUCCCUUCCCUUCCCUUCCCUUUCCUUCCCUUCCCUUCCCUUCCCUUCCCUUCCCUUCCCUUUCCUUCAAUACUUCUCAUUCAGAAACCCACUUAAAGUAUUGUUAGGCCAGUGUCCUCAUCUGUGAAAUUUCAUCUGGGUAGAGAAAGAUGGUGAAAAGAAAUGACCUUGUCUCAUAAGGGAAGACAAUGACUUGUAAAACAAAUAUUCUAAGUAAUUCCAAAUAUGGUAUGAGAACUCCCCCAUAAAGUUGUGAGAAUCAAAUUGGUUGAAGGAAAACAGUGUUGUGUAAACUCUACAGUUUUCUGAACACAACUGGCCCUUACCUUGAUAUAAAAUCCAGGGUCUAGUACAGAGAAGUUAUUUGGAUGCUUAUCUAAUUUCCAAUAUCUCCUGUGCUUUUACUUGACAGCAAGACAGCAUCUCAUCCAGGCUUGUGAUAGAGGAAAAUUGAGUUAUUAUUAUUAUUAUAUUUUUAAAGUGAAAAAUAGGGAGUUUGUCGAUCAAAUGGACUAGUAUUUUAAGCACUUAUUAUGUGCCAGGAGCUUUUUAAUUUCUGGGUGAAGAAUAACAGAGUCUCCAUUGUACACUUACCCCAGGCUAUAUACAGAGUUAUAGCUAACAUUUGAGUGCUUACUGUAAGCAAAAGCAUUGUUCCAGGUGCAUUUGCAUUUAUUUCAUUCACAUGUUUCUCAAUCUUUGUAAUAACUCAGUAAAAUACUGUUAACAUUGUCAUCACCAACAAUAAGAAAACUGGAAUUUAAAGAGAUUAGACAGUUUGCCCAACAAUGUUGCAAAGCUGAGACUUUGAACCCUGGCUGAUUUGACUCUGAAGUCUGUACUCCAUUCCAGUACACUACCAAAGCUUCUAGCAUAUAACCAUUAAUCUUUGCAAUCAUUUGCGAAGUCCAUAUGGCUGUCCAUAGUGGGGGAGGCCAUAAAUGUGGGACUAAGGGGGAGUUACUGAGCCUUUUCUGAGAGAAGUGGUACCUUCCCCCACAAACAAGUUUCUUGUGCUGAAAUCAGGUUGGAAAGAUAAAAAAGGUUGAAGAAGGUGGAGGUGGCAUGGUUGAACCUGUUCAGGAACUGAUUACAUCUGAGCCUCUGGCCCUUUUGCCUGCCAGCUGACUCAGAGCUGGCUGAUGGGCCAAAGCCCAGGCAGGUUAAUUUCAUGGGCUGUAUACUUCAAAGGAUCUGAUUCCUGGCACUGCUAUGCACGUUGUUUUUCAGAGGGCAGAACCUUAUGGGGGAGGGAACAGGAUGGCCUCAAGGAAGUGUUUGCAAAAGACCAAGGCAGUAUUUGCUCUAAAUCCAAAUAUACACAGCUUGUUCUAGGUUUAGCAAUAAAAAACACAAGAUCAGACCUAAGCAUGGCUUAAAAUUGGGUAUUUAAAUCUUAAGUAUUCCUCUGCAGUAAAUACAGCAUUUAAGAAUAUGAAUCCUAGAGUUAGACCUCGAUUUCAAUAUUGGCUCUACCACUCUCCUGUGAAUAAAUUGAUUACUAGGCCUCAGUUUUCUCAUGUGCGAAAUGGGGAUUAAGUACCUACUUCAUAUACUUGUUGUGAAGGUUAAAGUGAGUAUAAAGCAUAUGUCACAGUACCUGAGACAUAGUAAAUUCUCUUGAAAAACAGUCAUUCAGAGAAAACUCGUAUUUUAUAAGAAUCUCUGGGCUUAAAUUAAUUGAUUUAUUUUUCUUUUACUUAACACAUUCAAAAAGCAUUUAUUAUUGUAUUCAGUGGCAGGGAUGCUGAAAACAGUAACAACUUUUGUUGAACAUGUAAAAUGAGCCAAAUAUUUUUAAAAACAUAUUUUCUCAUUUAAUGUGCCCUACAAAGUAUUUUCCUACCUUAUUAAUGAGACCCUAGGUUGAGAGAAGUUCAGUAGCAUGAUUAAGAUUGUAUAGUCAGCAACUGUAACUCCAAAACCUAUGAAUAAAAUAGACUUUAUCCCCAUUGGAACAUAUUAUUCAGCAAGCAGUCAGACACAUGAACAAAUAUCUACAUUCAAAGUGAUGUUAUUGAGGUUUAUACUACAUGAUUGGGAGCAGAGAACAGGGAAGGUGAACCGGGCAGGGGUGUGCCUGGGUGGAAUAAGGUUCAUCAUCUUCACAGGAAUAAAUAAAUAAUAGUGGGGCUUUUGCUAGUAGAGGAGGGGUUUCAAGAGAGGUCUUUCUGUGUCUCCAAGUCACAGAUUAUGUUGUUUACUUGAAGUGGAAUGGUAGGAGUUAUAUACAAAUAAUGUCUGUUUGCAUCAGAAGUAUCUGUACCUCCUUGGGCUUUGUAACUGAACUAACAAUAAUAGCAACUAAUUCCUAUUGCAUGAUCAUUAGAUACUAGUCACUACUGUGUUCACAGGCAAGAACUCUCUUAUUUUUAGAAAGGGAGAGAGGAGAGAGAAGGGGCAGAGGGAGAGAGACUAUUGUACAGCAUGGAGCCCAACUCAAUCUCACAACCCUGAGAUCCUGACCUGAGCCAAAAUCAAGAGUUGGGUGCUUACCCGACUGAGCCAUGCAGGUACCCCUCACAGAGCAGAACUUUUAACUAGAGAAAGGUGGAAAGACUUUGUCUAAACCAAUAAUCUCAAAUUAAGUACACUUAAUUUGGGUAAAUACCCCCAAUAUAUGUAUAUUACUUCCUAGUAUAAGAUGUCCACUAUGAAAUGCAGAUAUACAACCAAAAAUUGUAAGGGAUGAAAUGAAGUUGAAAUAAACUAUUUUAUCUCAGGGCAAAAUAUUCUUGGGAUUCUGCAUGUUGUUAUUAAUAGUGGAUAUAAAUUAAUAUUUCAAAUAGGCUACUUAAUAGUUUUGGAUUUUUUUUGGUCAUUUGUCAGUUUUGAUUAAAUGAUCAUUGUAUUUACGAUCAUAAUAUGACUGAUACUAAGUAGAAGUGUCAGUUCUGCCAAUUUUUUGGUCCUCUUAUGUAUCAUCUUCAAUUCAGAGUUUUUCUAAAGCAAUCUUUUUAAAUCAAUUGUUUAUUUUGUGAGAUUUAAUUUAGCAAAAAUUAGACUAGAAAAAAUCCAUAAAUCCUCUUUUUUAAAAAAGAUUUAUUUAUUUAUUUUAGAGAGAGAGAGAGCGUGUGCACAGGGGUGAGGGGCAGAGGGAGAGAAAAGAGAGAAUCUCAAGCAGACUCCCCGCUGAGCACAGAGCCUGACUCGGAGCUCCAUCCCACGACCUACAUCAUGACCUGAGCCAAAAUCAAGAGUGGGACGUUUAACCAACUGAACCACUUAGGUGCCCCUAAAUCCUCUUUGGAACUGCAAUAUGUCACUAAAUUCUGAAAGUGAAAGAACUCCCAUUCACACUUCAUGUGAGCACUAAAUAUAGGGACAAUGUGGAGAUGCCAAACUCAGUCUAUAUUAAUAGAGGUUAAUUUUUUUUUUAUGAAUAAGAAACAUGUAUAAGAAAAACUCUUGUCACACCUCAGAUUGCCUUGCAUACCUGUAGAGUGAGCACACUCCAUUUUGUAGGUCAGUGGUCUAAGCAACAGGACCUGUGGCCAUGAAGUGGGAAUAUCCAAUCUUAUCUUCAGCAAUGACUGAUCCAGAUUCAUUUAUGAAUGACAAAUGAGAAGGGCACAAUAUGACUUCUCAGGAAAUCAGAAGAGCUCAGCAGAGCUGGAACUUUGAGAAUGUGGCCUGUCUGUACAAAGGCAGAGCCUAUAUUCUUUAAGUGCUUCAAAGAAAUACAUUCUAGUUUUGAAGAAAAUGUCAGUACUACUUACGCUUAAUCCCAGUUCGGCUAUUUACUAGCCAUGCAAUUUGGGGAAAGCAGCAACCUCUUGUAGUUUGUUUCUCAUCUCUGAAAUAAGAAUGAUUAAUGCCAGUAUUUACCUCACUAAGAAGUUUAAUGUGAUACUAUUGAACCCUCACUAUGUGCAGAGAUGCUGAGCUAAACUAUUUACAAGAAUUCUUUUAGUCUUCAUGAUACACUAGGGUGGUAGAAGCUAACUAAUUUUUCACUAAAACAUUUUCCUUUUCAGGGCACCUGGGUGGCUCAGUUGGUUAAUCAUCUGCGUUCAGCUCAGGUCAUGAUCCCAGGGUCCUGGGAUAGAGCCAAACAUCGGACUCCCUGCUCAGCGGGGAGUCUGCUUCUCCCUCUCCCUCUGCAGCUCCCCCUGCUUAUGCUCUCUCUCUGUCAAAUAAAUAAAUAAAAUCUUAAAAAAAAUUUUUCCUGUUCUUCCUGGGCACACAAAAGGACUACAUUUCCUUGCAGCCACAUUGUUUUGUGCUGGCCGGUGAAAAAUGAGCAGCAGUGAUCAACAUCACCUUCAGGCCUGGCCCAUGAAACUUGCCCUUCUAAUUCUCCAUGCUCUCUUCUCUCAUCUGGGAGAGGAUCCAGCAAAACCAGUAGUGCAAGGGCCUGUCUUUUUCUCCCCCCACCUCCAACUUUACUGGAUUGUGAUAUGAACUAGAAAUAAACUCUUAAUUGUGUUAAGUCAUUGAGAUGUGGGGGUUAUUUGUCAUAGCAGUUAACGUAUCCUGACUAAUACAACAAGAUUUGACAAGAACCCAGAGAAGGGAGAGAUAAAUUGUUUACAGUGUCUGGCACAUGAUGUACAAUAAAAAAGUUGAUUAACCUCAUUAAGAAACAUGAAGGUUACUUUUAGGAGAGGGCUUAUGAGCAACUAUCUAAAACUCCUCUGGAUAGAGUGUGAGAAAAUGUCAGGAAUCACUGACAUACACUCUGGUUUCCAAAGCUUUUCAUAGAUACCACUGGGCAGACCUCAAGAAAUAGAGAUACCAGUCCUGCAGUACCUCAUACUCUGUAGCCUGCUAAAUCAGUUCAGCACAUUUCCCUAAGUUUUAUAAAAAUAUGUAAUAAGUACAAAUACAUUUUUUAAUCAUGUACUGGGAAGCCUUCAUCUUUUUUAUUUAUUUUUUUUUUUAGAUUCUAUUUAUUUACUUGAGAGAGAGAGAGAGCGAGCGGGGUUGUAGUGGGGAGAAGCAGAGGGAGAGGGACAAGCAGACUCCAUGCUAAGCCCAGAGCCUGACUCAGGGCUUCAUCUCAGGAUCCUAAGAUCAUGACCUGAGCCGAAAUCAAGAGUCAGGUGCUCAACUGAUUAAGCCACCCAGGCACCCCUCCUUCCUCCAUCUUGAUUAAGUUUUCCUCAUUUAUUCAAAUUCAAGAGCUAAAAUGUGUGUUUUAGAUUUCUCUCAAGUUACUCUCAAGUCAUUUCUCUCUGAGUAGUUUCCUUUGCUCUAACACAUUUUCUGGACAUUAUAGUACUUAGCUGGAGCUGUAUUUUUAAUCUUGAGAAAUUUAAUUCCUAUAAUUUGGCCUUGGUCUCUGAAUGAUCUCAUAUCAUAUUUUUUUAUGUAGUAACUACUAUUGUAUUUUCCUCUUCCUCCUUCAUACUUAUUUGGCAAAGUUGAUUCCUAUGGAAUUGCACGGAUAACUACUUAGGCUCCUGGCUUCACAUUUACUCCUCAAAUGCAGAUAAAUUAUUUCUUCUUGACUUUGGUGAAUUAGAAUAGUAGCACAGCCUUCCAAGACAUUUUGUUGCUAUUAUCCUUAUCAAAUUCCUCCCCUCAGUCUUAUAUUUUCAAAACAUUCUGGAGGUAGGCAAUUGGUUUUGAAGCCUUGAUAAAUGGUCACAGAAGCUAUGUGGCUUAGAGGAAGCAAACAGGCUUUGUGUGCAGACAAACUUGAUUUCCAACCCCGGCAUAGCCACCAACUAGCUAUAUAUGACGUUGGUCAGUUAUUCAACUUUUUAAGAGUUACAACUAAAAUGGAGAUGGUAAAACCCACAUUACAAAGGUAAGUGGGAUAUAUAGGCUAAUUUCACUUUUGAAUAUGGAUACAAUAAUCUUAAAUACUAGCAAACCAAAUCCAAAAUAUACCUCAUAACCAUUUAUUUAUAUCAAGAAUGUAAGUUUGGUUUAAUAUUUUUUUUAAGAUUUUAUUUAUUUAUUUGAGAGAGGGAAUGAGAGAGAGAGAGAGCACAUGAGAGGGGGGAGGGUCAGAGGGAGAAGCAGACUCCCCGCCGAGCAGAGAGCCCGAUACGGGACUCGAUUCCGGGACUCCAGAAUCAUGACCUGAGCCGAAGGCAGUCGCUUAACCAACUGAGCCACCCAGGCGCCCAGUUUGGUUUAAUAUUUUUAAAAAUCAAAAUGUAGUUUAUAUCUUAACUGAUUGAUGGGAUAAACACAUUACAAUAGAUAAAGAAAAAUUUUUGAUAAAAUUUAACAUCCAUUCAUAAAAACAAAACUUCUGCCAAAGUGGAAUAGAAGAGAACCUCUUAAAUUGACAAAGUAUAGCUAUUUUAAAAAUUAUGCUUAAAGAAGCAAAAGCUUUCUUAAAUUGAUAAAGGAUAACUUUAAAAAAGUAUAUCAUACUUAAUGGUUAAAAGACAAAUAAGUGGAGCCCCUGGGUGGCUCAGUCAGUUAAGCAUCCAACUUGUGAUUUCAGCUCAGGUCAUGAGCUCAUGGGUUAUGAGAUCCAGCCCCACAUCGGGCUCCAUGUCUGUCUGAGAUUCUCUCCUUCUUCCUCUCCCUCUGCCCCUCCCCCCAUUCUCUCUUUCAAAUAAAUAAAUCUUUAAAAAAAAAGAUGAUACAUGUCUUUCUCUGAUUGACUUAUUUCGCUCAGCAUAAAACAUGUAUCAUAUGAUCUCACUGAUAUGAGGAAUUUUUUUUAAAGAUUUUAUUUAUUUAUUUGACAGAGAGAGUGAGAGAGCACAAGCAGGGGGAGCAGUAGAAGGAGAGGGAGAAGCAGGCUUCCUGCUGAGCAAGGAGCCCGAUGCAGGGCUUGAUUCCAGGACCCUGGGAUCAUGAUCUGAGUGGAAGGCAGACGCUUAACCAUCUGAGCCACCCAGGCGCCCCUUGAUAUGAGGAAUUAUUAAUCUCAGGAAACACACUGAGGGUUGCUGGAGUGGUUGGGGGGGGGAUGGGGUGGCUGGGUGAUAGACAUUGGGGAGGGUAUGUGCUAUGGUGAACACUGUGAAUUGUGUAAGACUGUUGAAUCACAGACCUGUACCUCUGAAACAAAUAAUACAUUAUAUGUUAAAAAAAAAAAAAAAGAUAGUAGGAAGGGAAAAAUGAAGGGGGGGAAAUCGGAGGGGGAGACAAACCAUGAGAGACUAUGGAUGCUGAGAAACAAACUGAGGGUUCUAGAGGGGAGGGGGUGGGGGGAUGGGUUAGCCUGGUGAUGGAUAUUAAAGAGGGCACGUACUGAAUGGAGCACUGGGUGUUAUAUGCAAACAAUGAAUCAUGGAACACUACAUCAAAAACUAAUGAUGUAAUGUAUGGUGAUUAACAUAAUAAAAUAAAAAACCAAAAACAAACAAACAAAAAGAUGAAAAGUUUCCCUUUGAGGUCAAGAAUAAGAGACUUCUUGGAUGCCUGUCUGGCUUAGUUGGUAGAGCAUGUGACUCUUCAUCUUGGAAUUGUGAGUCGAGCCCCAUGUUGGAUGUGGAGAUUACUUUUAUUUUUAUUUUUUUUAAGAUUUUAAUUUUAAGUAAUCUCUACACCCAACAUGGGGCUCAAACUCACAAACCCAAGAUGAAGAGUCACACACUCUACCAACUGAGCCAGCCAGGCACCCCAGAGAUUACUUUUAAAUAAAUAAAUAAAUAAAUAAAUAAAUAAAUAAAUAAAUAAAUAAAUAAAUAAAAAUAAUAUAAUUUUUAAAAAAGAAUAAGAAACUUCUUUUACUUAUCAUUGUCCUGGAGAUCCUAGCCAGCUAAGGAGAAAAAAAUUUAAAUGAUAGAUAGAUGAGAGAGAGAGAGAUAGAUAUUCAGGAGGAAAGAAAAUCCAAAACAACUACAUAUAGAUUAUUAAAAUUUAAAAAGAGCUUGGAAGGGGCGCCUGGGUGGCUCAGUCGUUAAGCGUCUGCCUUCAGCUCAGGUCAUGGUCUCAGGGCCCUGGGAUGGAGCCCCACAUCCAGCUCCCUGCUCUGUGGGAAGCCUGCUUCUCCCUCUCUCACUCCCCCUGCUUGUGUUCCCUCUCUCACUGUGUCUCUCUCUGUCAAAUGAAUAAAAUCUUUAAAAAAAAUAAAAAAUAAAAAGAGCUUGGGAAGUUCAUUGGAUACAAGACUAAUAAUAUAUAAAAAUCAAUUACAUUUUAUAUAUCACAAAUAUAUAUAGUUUUUUAAAAGUAUCUGAAAUAGACAACUUACAAUUAAACACUAAAAAUACCAAGAGCCUAGGAAUAAUCUAAUAAAAGAUGUCUAUCUCUAAAGGGAAGACUAAAACUUUGUUCAGAGACAUUAGAAAAGACAAAAAGAAAUGGAGAAAUGUACCAUGUUCAGACUGUCUUCUUCACUCUGCUUCUUUUUAAAUACAUGUAUGCCUUUUAUUUAUUUAUUUAUUUGUUUAUUUAUUUAUGUAUUUAUUUAUUUAAGCUCUAUGCCCAACAUGGGGCUUGAACUCACAACCUUGAAAUCAAGAGUCACCUUCUCUACCAACUAAGCCAGCGAAGCACCCCUUUACUUUGCUUCUUAGUGCUCUGAAUACAGUACCCUGCUUGGAACCCAAGUCCUGGUGCCUCAGAGACCUUUCUGCCUCCAUUUCUUUGUUGCUGUAAACAAACACUUGUAUUAGAAAGCAAAACUAAAGAAACAGCUCCUGAUAGUCUUAGCACUGUUGUGUCCAUUCCUGGAAACAAGCUCACUGUCACCAGGUCUAGCAAGGACUGUACUGCGUCUACAUGGUAGACCCUGAUCUUUGAAAGUUCUGGGAAAGCCCAGCUCAUCUCCAAACAGAAGAAGAAUAGUCAACAUUUAUAGAUGGAUUCACUCCAUCCAAAUCACAUUCCUUCUUUUGACCUUUAGUACAAGCCUGAGAGGAAAGGAUUUGUAUUAUCCCAUUUCCUAUAUAAGAAUACUGAGGCAACCAAAGACCCACAGUCAGUCAUGAAUCCAGGGCCUUUGAUACCAAAUUUGAUGGAUUAUCUUCUAUAAAAACAAUGCAUUUCUUAGAGCAGCCCUGUCGUACCAUCAUCAUGGUACAUUCAUCAGGGCAAAUUCAAGGUCUUGAGUCUUUUGACUGAACAAAUCUUUUCCCUAUGCCUCUAUUCUCAAACAAUUGAGUUUCUGUAGGCAUUAUACUUUACACUUUAGGAAGGGAAGAGAGGGAGAGCAAGGAAAGCGAAGAGUAGGGACUUUACAGUAGUUUCCUCACAAAUCGCAAUUCGUUUUUAUAGUCAAGCCAAAACCUCCUUUCUCUUACCUGUGAAGAGAGAUAAUAAAUUUUUCUCUUUCUCAGUCUUUUUAGGAUUAAAGUGAAACAUGAAAAGGGCAUAGCACAAUGCCUAGCACAUAGUAUGUGCUCAGUAAAUGCUAGCUAUUGCUAUUGGCAGCUACUAUGUCACUAGAAGAUAAUCCUACAAGUUUUACAAUCAGAAUAUUUCCCAGAUCAGAGUAGAGGAAGCACAAUGCCAAACUGACUGCAGUCUUUUUUUCUUUCUUUUUUUUUUUUUUUUGCCAGGUCUUUUGUACUGUAUUUAAAGAGAUAUCCUUUCUCUGGAGAGCUAUAGUGGGGAAGAAGGCCCCCACAAACUAAGUGCUUUUGGUUCUCAGCAUGAGUUACAAAGGAAGCCAUAUUGUAUAAGACAUCUCCUUUGUUUAUUUGUUCAUUCUUUUAUUUUAUUUUAAUUUUUUUGCAAUAGAUCUUUAUUGAGGAGCCAGCAAUGUACUAGGCACUAUGCUAGUCAUUGAGAAUGGAGAAGAUUAUAUUGUAAGUUAGCACUACAAAAAAGGAACUCUGGGACGGUCUUCUCAGGCAUCACAGUUCUGGGGGUUCCUUUUGGGGAAGAGGAGGAGGUACACUGCCAAAUAUGGUGAAAAAUGCAUAUGCUUGGCAUCAGAGGGAUGGAAGUUUAAAGCAAGGUGCUGCUUACUUUAUGUGUAAACUUGAACAAAUCCUUCAUAUCUCUAGACCUCCAUUUCUUCAUCUGCUAAAUGGGAAUUAAAUACUUACCGUGAAGAAUUAUAAUGAGGAUCCUAUGGUGUCAGUUAAGUGAAGUGCCUGGCCCUUAGUGGCUCCUCCUUCUCAUGAAUUGAUGGGCUGUCUGUCCUUCUAACUUCUCCAUUCCAAGUUGCAUUUUUCUUUGUGGUUUCUUUUUCCCUUUAAGCCUGAUCUUAAUUUGCUGUAAAACCAGCUCUCAAACAUAUAAUAAUAAUAAAAUAAAUGGAGAAGUGGGUGGGACACAGAGUGUACUUUGCCCCCCAUCAGGAAGCCACCCUCCCACUCCUCUUCCCACACAGUCGUCAUUGUUUCCAGCACAAACUACUGGGUCUCAAAGGCCAGUCAUUCCUUAAUUGUCCAUAACCAAGAAUUUCAAGGCAUCUCUGAUUGGUACAUCAAAAGGAGCCCUUUCGGUGCAGGUGGACUGUUUUUACAUUUGCUCUUUAUCCUUCAGUAACUGGUCAGACUAUUCAGACGGAAAAAGGAUCUUGUAAAGAAGUUGACUCUAAAAGAAUGCUGAGUAUGUGCUUCUUGGGCUCUUGAUGCAUCAGGACAAAUGUCCUUUGUCCUCUGAAUAGAGAUGGCCCAGCUUCUUUGUGUCUAUUUGAACCCUGCUUUAAACCCCGAAAAAGUUGUUUUCUUCAUUUAUUUACUUAGUUGUUUAUUCAUUUACUCAGUAGACAUUUACUGACCACUAACUAUGUGCCAAACCUGUGCUAGAUCUGGGGGAUCUAUCAAUGAAAAAGAGACAGACUCAACCCCUACCCUCAGGCAGCUUACAUUCUACCAGGGCAGACAAACAACAACAACAAAAGUCAUCAAAUAAAUUAACAAGAAAAUUGUGAUAGGGGUGCCUGGGUGGCUCAGUCGGUUAAGUGUCUGCCUUCGGUUCAGGUCAUGAUCCCAGGGUCCUGGGAUCAAGCCCCACAUUGGGCUCCCUGCUCAGUGGGGAACCUGCUUCUCCUUCUCCCUCUGCCUGCCGCUCUGCCUACAAGUGAUCUCUCUCUGUCUGUCAAAUAAAUAAAUAAAAUCUUUUUAAAAAAUUGUGAUAGAUGAGUACUAUGAAGGAACUAAACAGAGAAAUGUAUAAAAGAGUAAUUAGAUAGAAUGGGAAGUGAAGAGUGGCCAGAGUGGGCCUUUCUGAGGAGGGUGUAUUUAAAGUGAGCCCUGAGGUGCCAGUUUUGUGAGUAGCCAGAAAAAAGCUUUCUCAGCAGAGGGAACUGUAAAUGCAAAAAUCUCUGAGUAGGGGGUAGGGCUUGGUAUGUGUAGAGAAAUUAAAGGGGUAUGAAGUAAGAGGGGAGAGGCUGACAGAUAACAAAUAAAGCAGGAUUUGAUAAGCCAGGAGUAUGGAUUUUACUUUAAGUUCAAUUCAUUAAAUAUUCAGCAAACGCUGAUUGAACGCCUAAUGUACACCAGGCACUGUUCUAGGCUCUGAACAUGCAGCAGUAACAUUGAAAGUAAAAUUUUUUUUUAAUAUAAAGUAUAGUUGACAAGCAAUUUUGCAUUAGUCCCACCUGUACUGAAAGUAACUUUUGAAAAUUACAUUAUAUCACAGAAGGCAGACAGUAAAUAAGUAAAAUAGCAUUUUUAGAUAGUGCUAGGGAGAAUAAUAAUUAAUUUAAAGAUUUUAUUUCCUUUUUAAAAUUUUAUUUAUUUAAUUUGAGAGAGAGAGAGAGAGCUCUUGCACACGUGUGUGUGUGCGGGGGUUUGGGGCAGACAGAGGGAGGGAAGAGAGAGAAUCUUAAGCAGGUUCCAUGCCCAGCAUGGAGCCUGAUGGAGGACUCAAUCUCACAAACCUGAGAUCAUGAUCCAAGCUGAAACCAAAAGUCAGAUACUUAACUGACUGAGCCAACCAAGUGCCACUUAAAGAUUUUAUUUAAGUAAUCUCUACACCCAGCAUGGGGCUUGAACUCACCCCCAAGAUCAAGAGUCUGAUGCUCUACAGACUGAGCCAGCCUGGCACUCCAGGGAGAGUAUUUUAACAAACUAAGAAAAGGAGUUAAGAAGUAUAGGGUUGCAAUUUUAGAUAAAAGUGGCCAGACAAGUCCUCACUGAAAAAAAUUAUAUAUUUUUAAAGAUUUUAUUUAUAUGAUAGAGAGAGUGCGAGCUGGGGAGGGGGUAAUGAGGGGGAUGUGGAGGAGGAGAGCGAGAGGACAAGCAGACUCCCUGCUGAGCACUGAGCUCAAUCCCAGGACCCCAAGAUCAUUACCUGAGUUGAACAAAGUCAGACACUUAACUGACUGAGCCACCCAGGCGUCCCUGAAAAAAAUUACACUUAACUAAAGAUUUGAAGUGUUUCUACGCUGUCCAUGGGCAAAGCACUCCAGUAUUUAGAGGUCAGGGAAGAUGAAAAGGAAAGGAGAAAGACAAGAAGCAUGUAGAAUAGUAAAAGGAAAGUCAAGUAAAUGUCCUGGAAGCUGGAAAGUGUUUUAGGGAGGAGAGACAUCAACGGUGUAAAAUGCUGCAGAUAGUAUAUAAAGAUGCGGACUGAGGCGUGAUCAUUGGGUUUAGUGACGGGGAGGUUAUUGGUAACCUUGAGAAGAGCAGUUUCACUGCUGCGUGGAAGCAAAACCCUGUAGGAGUAUGUCAGGGAGAUGGUUGGAGGCAGGGGACUGGAGACCCUGACUCUAGAUACUUCAAGGAGUUUUGCCAUAAUGUAAGGGAAUGAAACGGGGCAGUGGCCACAGGGGAACUUAGAUCAAAAGAGAUUUUCCUCUAACUGCUUUUACUUUUAUUUUAUUUUUUUCCUCCAACGUUUUUAAAUCUUCAAACCUACAGAAAAGUUGGAAGAACAGUACAAUACCCAUACACCCUUCACCUAGUUGCAGCAAUAGUUAACAUUUUGCCACCUUUGCUUUCGCUCGAGAGAGAGGGUUUUGUUUUUUUUUAAACAUUCUUUCAAACUGUGAAACACAAACAUGUACAGGAUAGUCCACAAAACAACAUGUAUAACUCAGGGAAUGAUCACAAAGCAAACAUCCAUGUAAUCCCCACCAGUAUCAGGAAAAUAGAGCACUGCUAGCAUCCCCAAAGCCUCCUUAUGCCCCCUCCCACCCAUCAAGAUGUAACCAUCAUCCUGAAUUUUCAUAGUGAUAACUUCUUGCUUUUCUUUAUAGUUUUAUAUAUUGCCUUUCCUUUUUUUAGCAUACGGAUAUCUAAUGACCCAACACCAUUUAUUGAAAGACUGUCCUUUCCCCACUGUUUUGAAGUGCCACCUUUGUUAUAAAUCAGGUGUUCAUUUGGCAGUUCCUUUCUGGGCUUUGUGUUUUAUUCUAUCGGUCUAUUUUCUUUCCUUGUACCAUUAAUAUACUGGCUUAAUUAUUAUAGCUUUAUAAUAAGUCUUAAUAUCUGCUGGAGCAAUUACUUCCAUCUUGUUCUUUUUCAGAAAUGUCUUGGCUAUUAUUGGCCCUUUUCAUGUCUCUAUAAAUGUUAGGAUCAGCUUAUAGAGUUUAUAUAAAUAAAACAAAAGUCUUCUUGGGAUUGGAAUUGCAUUGAAUCUACAGAUAAUAAGGGGCAAAUUCACAUCUUUAAAAUCAUUCAAUCUGGGGUGCCUGGGUGGCUCAGUUGGUUAAGCGACUGCCUUCGGCUCAGGUCAUGAUCCCGGAGUCCCGGGAUCGAGUCCCACGUCAGGCUCCCUGCUCAGCAGGGAGUCUGCUUCUCCCUCUGACCCUCCUCCCUCUCAUGCUCUCUGUCUCUCAUUCUCUCUCUCGCAAAUAAAUAAAAUCUUAAAAAAAAAAUUAAAAAAAAAUCAUUCAAUCUUCCAAUCCAUGAACAUAGUAAAGCCAUCCCUUUAUUUAGUUCUUCAACUUCUCUCAAUAAAGUUUAUGCUUUUCUAUGUAGAGGUCUUGCAGAUUUGUGUGUAUGUGAAUUUAUUCCUAAGUAUUUGCAAUUUCUAAAUGUUAUCUUUUUAAAAAUUUUCAUUCUUGUUGUUGUUGGCAUAUAGAAAAUAGAAUUGAUUUGUUCAUUGGCUCUUUAUCCAGCAACCUUCUUAAACUCACUUUUUUGUUUUGUUUUGUUUUUUUAUUAUGUUAAUCACCAUACAUUACAUCAUUAGUUUUUGAUGUAGUGUUCCAUGAUUCAUUGUUUGCAUAUAACACCCAGUGAUUUCUCCCCUUCAUUCUUCCCCUCCUGCUAUCUUCUUCUUCUUCUUCUUCUUUUUCUUCUUCUUCUUCUUCUUUGUUUUUUUAACAUAUAAUAUAUUAUUUGUUUCAGAGGUACAAUCUACGGCCAUCCCACCCUGAGCACGCCCGAUCUUGUCUGUUUCAGAGGUACAGUAAUCUCUAGGCCCAACAUGGGGCUCAAACUCACGAUCCUGAGAUCAAGAGUCACAUGCCCUACCCAUUGAGCCAGCCAGGCACACCAGAAACAGUUCCUGGACCUGCCUCUUCAUUCCACUUCUCUAGCUAGCUGUGCUAAUUCAACAUAAAGAAAAUGAUGCCUAGAGAUGUGAAUAACUUGUCAAGGUCACAUCGUUACCAAGUAAGAUUAACAAAGGGAGAACACACGAGCACAAGCAGGGGGAGCAGCAGCAAGUGGGAGAGGGAGAAGCAGGCUUCCCGCUGAGCAGAGAGCCUAACGUGGGACUCCACCCCAGGACCCCAGGAUCAUGACCUGAGCUGAAGGCAGUCGCUUAACAGAGCCACCCAGACGCCCCAGUACAGUGGAGUUUUCCAGAGCCUACAUGUUGUGUGUUACUGCAACAAAAUGAACGCAGAAGCAGACAUAAAAAUCCAGCUGUCUCCUAUUAACCCAGGCAUUAAAGAGAUUUACAAAAAUAUAAACCAGACCACUUUUCUUAUUGAUUUUUUGUGUGUUGGAAAACAGAGUUAUUUUAAAAAAAUGUUGUUUAUAUUCAACGUAAAGGGUUUAUAAUCGCUAUUUUUAAAUGAAUAAAUAUUUUUUAUACUUUCUAAGUUUUAAUUUCUAAAACGAUAAACAUUGAUAGAUGUAAUGCAUAUAAACUAAAGCUGUUUGGGGUCCUCAAUCAUUUUUAAGAGUGUAACAUGGUCCUGAGGCUAAAAAGCUUGAGAACUGCUGUUUUAUUGCACAGAUGUACCUUAAUUUAACCCAUUCCCUGCUAAUGGACAUUUCAGUUAUUUUCAAUUAGUUGCAACUUCAAGCCAUGCCAAAAUGAAUACUCUUCUACAUAUUUUGUUUCCCACAUGUGUGAGAAAAUCCAUCUUGUGUUCUUAGAAGUGGAAUUGCUGGGUCAAAUAUACUAUGGUAAAGUCAUACAGAGUAUAUCAUCUCAUUUCAUCCUCGUAAUAACCUUAUGAAGUGAGAGUUGUCAUUAAUUCCUUUCUAUGUAUAAGAAAAUGGGGACUUAAAAAAGUUAGAUGACUGGGGCGCCUGGGUGGCUCAGUGGUUAAGCGUCUGCCUUCGGCUCAGGUCAUGAUCCCAGGGUCCUGGGAUCGAGCCCCGCAUCAGGCUCCCUGCUCAGCCAGGAGGCCUGCUUCUCCCUCUCUCACUCCCCCUGCUCAUGUUGUGUCUCUCUCUGUCAAAAAAAUAAAUAAAAUCUUAAAAAAAAAAAAAAAAAGAAGUUAGAUGACUGUCUUAGAGUCGUCAGGCUAAGAAGCUGCUGCAGACAGGAGUGAAACCAUUUUAUCAGACUUUGAACCACUAUUCUGAGCUAUGGUUUCUCCAAGCAAUACAUGUACAUAUUCAGUGAUCUGAUAACAGGCUCUAUUCUUGCCUUGGCCUAAAUUAUUUCCUGGCACAGAACAGUCUUGGAAUUAGAUGAACUGGGCCGCUCAAAGCAAAAGUCAGUACCAGAAAACUCCUUAAGUGAUAAGAAGAAUAGAGCUUUUUAUUUUGACUCACAGAAUUUCAGCCACCAUACAGUCUGGGAAAUUAAUUUUAGACAGUGAUGCAUUUAAUUAAAACUAAUUCAUGUAAUUCUCAGAGUAAACUUUAUAAACAAACCUACAAAAUAACAUGAUUUUUAUCCACUUUACCCCCCAUGAAACUUACACUGUACUACAUCAUUUUCCCCUUAAACACACAAAAAAGAGAACCCUAAGUAUUUUUAAAGAAAUGUAAUUUAAUUUUUACCAAACCUGGCACUGCCAGAAUUAUCUUUUUGAUACAAACAUCUGGCCACUCUCCCAUAAAAAUCCUUCAGUGGACUCCCAUUUCUUGUACUAUAAAGCUCAUAAGAGAUUACUUAUGAUUGGUUCUUAUAAACUCUCCUACACACAUUUUGAUCUCUUUUGAAAUACAGAUCUCAAAGAUCUAUUUCCUUUGAACAGGUCUCUUCAAACAGGUGGAUAUAUAGUGAACCUAGCGAAACUUCCCUUACAUGGGCCAUAAAAUUUUAUAUUUAUAAUAUUGUGUUCAUUUUCUCCACUGUUGUAUAUGCUUUGAGCCCCACAAAACCUUGAUCUACCUCUGGGUUGGUUUUCUUUUUUCUUUUUUUUCCUGUUUUCUUCCUUAAUCUAGGUACUCCAAUUCACUCCUGUCUGAUUUAGAUGCUUCUUUCAUGCUCCCAGUUUAUGCUGCUAUCUUUUCACACUGUAUGGUAUGACUCUUGUCAUCCUGUAUGGUAAUUGUUGGUUUAAUUGUUUAUUUCACCCAGCAGACUAUGAGCUCCCUGACAGCAGGGGUCAUGCUGAAUGAACAAACGAAAAAACGAACAGCUUUUUUUUGUGAGAAAAUCUAUUUAUACCUUGUUAUGAAAUAAUAUUUGGGAGGUUUUCUGUUACUAUUCAUUUGCUACACGUUCUUUUCCUUUUUCAUCCACAACUGGAAGGAAAUGACAAAUGGUUAAGAUAAAUAUAUAGGGGCAAAAUUUAAAUUGAGAAAUUAUUUCCAUUCAGUCAUAUUUUUCUGAAAAUGUGAAAAAGAUUGCUAAGACUAGAGUUGCUGACAAAAUAAAAAUUUUAAGCCCCCAAACUAUGAACUGGUUUUCACAUCACUUGAAUUGUCAGUCUCCCUCCCUGAUAAUCCUUAUCUCUAAACUCUGUAAUGUCAAGUGCAACCUCUAUUGUAGGUUCUCAGGUAAUCCUGCAUUUGCCUGUUUGAACCAGAGGAACACAACAGGGACAAGCAAGGUGAAAUUGAAAUCAGAAGCUCUGGAUCAGUCAACAAAUAUUCAUUGAAUGUCUGUUACAUGCCAGUUUUAGAGUCUCCUUUUGAGCUAACACCAGAAUGGCUCUAUUCUUGUGAUAGUUAUCUUCCUAAGUCAUAAACUUGAAAAACAAAUAUUUUGAACUAUAUAGUUUUAGGACUGCUCAUGAAAGAAUGUCCAUAUUACCUUGAGUUUAAAAAGCAAGUAGCAGGGGCGCCUGGGUGGCUCAGUCGUUAAGUGUCUGCCUUGGCUCAGGUCAUGAUCCCAGGAUCCUGGGAUUGAGUCCCGCGUCGGGCUCCCCGCUCUGCGGGAAGCCAGCUUCUCCCUCUCCCCCUGCUUGUGUUCCCUCUCUUGCUGUGUU